UACAGGAGCUUGACAACUUGAGUGCUGAGGAGCGAACGCGGUUGCCUCCGCUCUACCAGAGCCAUGGAGACGAAGACACGCUGGUGCUGCCGUCCUGGGGCUUGCAAACACACGCAGAGCUCAAACGGAGAGGGGUUGAAGGCGAGUUUGUGCGCGUACGGGACUGCGAGCACGCUUUGCACCAAGACGCGCUCCUACCGCUGCUCGCAUGGAUUUCUGAACGGCUGGGGUGACAUAAAUGGACGAGGAGGGAUAAUUUAAACCAAUGACAAGGUAACGGCGCAGCUGCGGACUGGAGCUGCAGACUAAGUUUAUACCGGCGCAGGACAGGCAUGAGGAGAAGCAAAGUUGCUGCCGUCGUCACGGCCGUGGUGACGAAGAGCACGAGUUCUAAGUGGUCACUGUCUCCCACGGGUAUGGACAGCACCAACCCUUCCGAUGUCUGUCGGGCAGAAAGUAGUACGAUAAUAAUUUAGCUUUCUAAUUAUUAACUCAUUCAUUCCAACACGUUGGUUGAAAUAUAUGUUACAAUAAGACAGGGAUCUGCUGUAUAAUGACUAUUUUUUUGCUCGUCAAUGGUAAUAUCGUGUAUUAAUGAUUAUAAAACGUGUAUUAAAUGAA